AUACGGAGGGUGCGAGCGUUAAUCGGAAUUACUGGGCGUAAAGCGCACGUAGGUGGAUACUUAAGUCGGGUGUGAAAGCCCUGGGCUCAACCCAGGAACUGCAUUCGAUACUGGGUGUCUAGAGUAUAGUAGAGGGAAGUGGAAUUUCCGGUGUAGCGGUGAAAUGCGUAGAUAUUGGGAGGAACACCAGUGGCGAAGGCGGUCACCUGGACGGGUACUGACGCUGAGGUGCGAAAGCGUGGGGAGCAAACAGGAUUAGAAACCCCAGUAGUCC
rnacentral:rRNA from 1 species